UACGUAGGGUGCGAGCGUUGUCCGGAAUUAUUGGGCGUAAAGAGCUUGUAGGCGGUUUGUCACGUCUGCUGUGAAAAUCCGGGGCUCAACCCCGGACUUGCAGUGGGUACGGGCAGACUAGAGUGUGGUAGGGGAGACUGGAAUUCCUGGUGUAGCGGUGGAAUGCGCAGAUAUCAGGAGGAACACCGAUGGCGAAGGCAGGUCUCUGGGCCACUACUGACGCUGAGAAGCGAAAGCAUGGGGAGCGAACAGG
rnacentral:rRNA from 1 species